UUCUAUGCAGGCUACCUCAAGGACGUAUCGCAUCCUGGAGCAUAUAAAUGUGUCCGCUGGUCAAUCAUGGGCAACAAUCUGACGAACAUGAAGCUGCUGGUGUCGGUCCUGUUGGUGGCUGCUGUGGUUGUGGUGUUGGUGGACGCAGGAGGUAAAGGCGGUGGGAAAGGAGGUGGCGGAGGUAAAGGCCAGUCAGGUGGAGGUGGCAGCAGUGGUGGUGGCAGCAGUGGUGGCGGCGGUGGUGGUGGUGGCGGUGGUGGUGG